UACAGAGGUGGCAAGCGUUGUUCGGAAUUACUGGGCGUAAAGGGCGCGUAGGCGGGAUGGCAAGUCGGUCGUGAAAUCCUUCGGCUCAACCGAAGAACGUCGAUCGAUACUGCUGUUCUUGAGGGUUGCAGAGGAGACUGGAAUUCCCGGUGUAGCGGUGAAAUGUGUAGAGAUCGGGAGGAACACCGGUGGCGAAGGCGGGUCUCUGGGCAAUUCCUGACGCUGAGGCGCGAAAGCGUGGGGAGCAAACGGG
rnacentral:rRNA from 1 species